rnacentral:rRNA from 1 species
AGCUCCAAUAGCGUAUAUUAAAGUUGUUGCAGUUAAAAAGCUCGUAGUUGGAUUUCUGGCAGGGUGGCCUUGCCCACAGUAGUGCGUGCAGCGUGGCCCUUCCAUCCUUCUGUUAACCUUUAAGGGUUUAACGCUCUUUUAGGGGCUCAGAUAUUUUACCUUGAGAAAAUUAGAGUGUUUCAGGCAGGCUAGCGCCGGAAUACAUUAGCAUGGAAUAAUGGAAUAGGACUUUUGCCCUUUCUGUUGGUCUGAGGGGUUCGAGUAAUGAUUAAUAGGGAUAGUUGGGGGUAUUAGUACUUAACUGUCAGAGGUGAAAUUCUCGGAUUUGUUAAAGACUAACUUAUGCGAAAGCAUUUACCAAGGAUGUUUUCA